AACGGUUGAUUUGAAAGGUUAAAAAGGAAAAGCUAUAAGCUAGUACUUUGUUUUGUUUCGAAUUGGUUCAGAACUUUAUCUUGCUGGUUGGAACAGUGGCAACUGAACGAAAAAAUGAGUGCUUCUGUUCAGAACUAAAAGUUUGGAUUUGUUUGGAAAGUUUGAAAAAUAAUGUUGGUUCCAACCCCUGCUUUUCGUAGUUGUUUAAAUAAAAGAAAAACAAAUAUAAUGGUGAGCGGCGUUAACCCUUUCCUUUCAGAGUUCAUCUUGGAACCUCCUUAGUUGGUGAGGUUUCUUGCAGGAGCCUACCGUUCUUGCCGAACUGAAACAUUUGGAUUUGAAUAUGAAUGGACAGCAGUUGCAGGCAAUUAACUUCAUUUUUUAUUUUUUUAAAUCUCCGACAUUUAAGGUAAGGUUUGUCCCUUGUUUGAUCUAAAUUGAUAUUGUUUCAUGAUGAUACCAUCUACCUUUUCAUAUUUGUGAAAAUGGACACAAUUCAAUGGUUAUCAAUCAACAAAGAGGUCAGGCUAGCUGUACUGGGUGCAGAUGACUGAACUGCUCACUUUUGUGUCUGUGUCUGCAGGUAUAUAGACGAGGAGGCAUACAAAGGUAUGUCAAUUGGUAUUGGUAUGUUAUGCAGAUCAAAUGUACCAUCCUCCUCCCCUACCUCUUCAAUGAAAAUCACAUGGGCCUCUACAUUAUGGACAAGACUUCACCCUCCCUACACCUCUGAUGAAUAUAACAGGAAACCUGUUCGAUCACCAUACACUGCAAAAUCAUUCUGGCUAUGGAUAAGGAGAACAUCAACACAUUAACAUCAACACGACAGAGGAUAUACCCAUUGGACUUGGGGCUCUGCUGGGAGUUUGCCUCAUAUUUAGAUGUUUUUAUUCUGCUUUGCCACUAAAAAUCAUAAACACUGACAACUAAAAUAUUGUGUUAUUGUUGUUUUUUAUAUGCAUAGUAUUAUUAUUAAUAAUAAUAAUAAAAGGGGUGGGGGGGUAGUUAAAAAAUGCACCCCAAAAGGUUCUUCAAAAGGUUCUUUGAGGAUCCAUUAAAAGGGCUUCUUUGAAGAAUCAUUUUAAAGGGUUCUUCGAAAAACAUAUAUUUGUUCCCUAGAGUUUCAAUUUGAAGAACCCCUAAAAGAUACUCUAAGAACCUUUUAUUUUUAGUGUGGAGGUCUGAGUGGAUUUGACAGGUGAAAAUCAAUAUGUCAAUAGCUCCAACUUGCCCUCUGAUAGGCUAGGUGGAAGUUUCACCGUACAACCAACUCCUUUCUGAUCUACAUUAGGGAAUAGAUUCUGACAUUGUCCUCUGGAAGAUGCUGUCUUUCGGAAGGGGCUUUAAACAGGUGUCUUGACUCUCUAUUCAUUGAAGAUAGCUUAACAUGAUAUGCCUACUUCUCGUAAGAGAAGAGGUGCUUGUCCCAUUGUCCUGACUAAUUUAGACCCAUUCCCAAUUUGGACCCAUAAUGGGCUCCUGAAUAUGGACCCAUAAUGGGCUCCCGAAUAUGGACCCAUAAUGGGCUCCCGAAUAUGGACCCAUAAUGGGCUCCCGAAUAUGGACCCAUAAUGGGCUCCCGAAUGGCGCUGCGUUCUAAGGCACUGCAUCUUUGUGCUAGAGGCAUCACUACAGACCCUGGUUCGAUUCCAGGCUGUAUCACAACCGGCCGUGAUUGGGAGUCCCAUAGGGCGGCGCACAAUUGGCCCAGCGUUGUUAGGGUUUGGCCGUAGUAGGCCGUCAUUGUAAAUACGAUUUUUUUGUUAACUGACUUGCCUAGUUAAAUAAAGCUUAAAUAAAUAAAAUACAAAAUAAAUGUAAUCAUUCCCUUGAUAAGUAAUUAGCUCCUUAUUCCACUCUAUUUGCCCUAUGCAACUAAAACCUGUUUUGGCCACUAAAAAUAGAUUAUUCUCAUUCAUAAGCCUAUAAUAUAAUGUCAAAACCAUAUCAAUGAUGACAUAACAAGGGUGGCCUAAUUUCUGUUGAAAUACAAAAUAAAUGUGGUUUUUGAAGUAUUCUAAGGAUAUUAUGAUUCUAAGGUUGAAUAUAGGCUACAUGAUUGGUGUUUUUUCCACAAUGUUUUUUCCACAAUGUUGGCCUUCAAAUGUGUUUUCUAUAGAACUACACAUUAAGGAUAGGUUGCUGCUGUUGUCGGAAACAGAAUUGAACUGAUAUCGUCAGAGAUGUGUCUCUAAUUCUGUAGAAUAUACUAGAAUUAGAUUUGAAAGUGUGUAAUGCUGCCAAAGUUGUCUUUCAAAUCACAAACAUAAUCUGAAGAGAACUGUCACGUUUUGAGAAAUAGUAGUCAUGCAUGAGGCGCAUCGCCACACUUCGCACUAGAAACUUUCCAUUACUGAAAAAUAUAUUUUCUGUGAAAGUGUUAUUCGUGCUUAAUUUACAAAUAUAACCUUUUCAAAUUGACUCCAUUGACUUCGAUGACUUAGCCUACAAGUUAGCUCACAGGUUUCAAGGUAUGCUAAUUGGGAGAGAGGAAGGGAAGAGAGCAGGAAGAUCACCUGCUGAGUGAGGUUCUCAU
rnacentral:lncRNA from 1 species